AUAUCUUUCUCGGUCUUUUGGCUAAGAUAAUGUGCAAUAUCUGCAUUUAAUAUUAGGUGUGCGGGUCAUAUGUCUACUUUAAUUUUUAUGUUCAUUUUUUUGUGAGGAGGAUCCUUUUUAUUUUAAAUUUAUUUUUUGUAUGGAGGGUCCAUCGCACUGGUUUACCACUGGGCCCUCGCGUGUCGUACAGUCGUUGCACUAUACCAUUAAAUAUGAUUGGUGUACGGUCC
rnacentral:snRNA from 1 species